UAAGCAUAUCAAUAAGCGGAGGAAAAGAAACCAACAGGGAUUGCCCCAGUAACGGCGAGUGAAGCGGCAACAGCUCAAAUUUGAAAUCUGGCCCCUAGGGUCCGAGUUGUAAUUUGUAGAGGAUGCUUUUGGUGAGGUGCCGCCCGAGUUCCCUGGAACGGGACGCCGCAGAGGGUGAGAGCCCCGUCUGGCUGGCCACCGAGCCUAUGUAAAGCUCCUUCGACGAGUCGAGUAGUUUGGGAAUGCUGCUCAAAAUGGGAGGUAUAUGUCUUCUAAAGCUAAAUAUUGGCCAGAGACCGAUAGCGCACAAGUAGAGUGAUCGAAAGAUGAAAAGCACCUUGAAAAGAGGGUUAAACAGUACGUGAAAUUGUUGAAAGGGAAGCGCUUGUGACCAGACUUGGGCGCGGCGGAUCAUCCGGGGUUCUCCCCGGUGCACUUCGCCGCGUUCAGGCCAGCAUCAGUUCGGCGCGGGGGAAAAAGGCUUCGGGAACGUGGCUCCUCCGGGAGUGUUAUAGCCCGUUGCAUAAUACCCUGCGCUGGACUGAGGACCGCGCAUCUGCAAGGAUGCUGGCGUAAU
rnacentral:rRNA from 1 species